rnacentral:tRNA from 1 species
GGAGAGGUGGCUGAGUGGUCGAAAGCGGCGGUCUUGAAAACCGUUGGUCCGUAAGGUCCCGGGGGUUCGAAUCCCUCCCUCUCCGCCA